UCUUCCCGGCGUUCCCGCGCUUUUCCUUCCUGAGGAGAAUUUUACCUCAGAAGCGUCUCCUUCGAUCAUGGCGCCCUCGCUCGCUCGCUCGCCCGCUUCCUGCUCUCCUCGCCCUCUUCUCCGCCCCCGAGGCGGGCCUUGGGCUUCCUACGUGCCCGGGAGGCCGCCCCCAGGGAAGGCAUGCCCGAGGCAUCCUUUGGACCCAAGGAGGGUCCCCACGUUCACUUGAAACACGCCUUUGGGACUCCCUCAGAAGGAGAAGGAACAUAGGCAGGAAAGCCAGGACUUCGCAAUUUGGCCCCUUCAGAAGCUCUCUUCACUCAUUUUUAAACAUGAAGGAGAGGCCUCCAUUCAAAACAAGAGUUUUAUCUCAUCUUUGACUGGAUCCACCCAUCAAGAAUGGAGCCUGCCUCUCCUUUGUUGAUGUUUUCUAUUUAAAAUUGAACCACUGGGACUCCAUGAAUGAGAGACUUCCAACUCAAAACAACUUCUAUCUCCAAUUCUGUGGAACUCAUUGCCUCCAUAUGUUAGAGCAAUGUCGGAGUUGCGACCUUUUGUAAAAGCGCUCAAGACUUGGCUGUUUGGUUGUGCAUUUAAGUAAAUCAGAUCUAAUCUGCCAAAUAGUCACCGUUGAAUGUUUUUAUGUUGAAUGUUUUUUAUAUUGUGGAAUGAUAUUUUAAAUUGUAAGUCCCUCGGAGUACUCUGGUGGAGAGCGACUAAUUAAGAAAUAAAGUGAAGUGAAGCGAACUUCUACUUGGCCCCUUCAGCAGCUCUCUUCAGCCAUUUUUAAACAUGAAGGAGAGGCCUCCAUUCAAAACAACAGUUUUAUCUCAUCUUUGACUGGAUCCACCCAUCAAUAACGAAGCCUGCCUCUCCUUUGUUGAUGUUUUCUAUUUAAAAUUGAACUCCUGGGACUCCAUGAAUGAGAGACUUCGACUCAGAACAACUUCAACUUGGCUCCUUCAGCAGCUCUCUUCACUCAUUUUUAAACAUGAAGGAGAGGCCUCCAUUCAAAACAACAGUUUUAUCUACUCUUUGACUGGAUCCACCCAUCAAGAAUGGAGUCUGCCUCUCCUUUCUUGAGGUUUUCUAUUUAAAAUUGAACUACUGGGACUCCAUGAACGAGAGACUUCGACUCAAAACAACUUCAUCUUGGCUCCUUCAGCAGCUCUCUUCAGCCAUUUUUAAACAUGAAGGAGAGGCCUCAAUUCAAAACAAUAGUUUUUUUAUUUCACCUUUGACUAGGAGCCUCCAGUGGCCUAGGGGAUUAAAGCCUUGUGACUUGAAGGUUGGGUUGCUGACCUGAAGGCUGCCAGGUUCGAAUCCCACCCAUGGAGAGCGCAGAUGAGCUCCCUCUGUCAGCUCCAGCUCCAUGCAAGGACAUGAGAGAAGCCUCCCACAAGGAUGGUAAAACAUCAAAACAUCCGGGCAACAUCCCCUGGGCAACGUCCUUGCAGAUGGCCAAUUCUCUCACUCCAGAAGCAACUCCGGUUGCUCCUGACACGAAAAAAAACGGAAGGAGAGGCCUCCAUUCAAAACAACAGUUUUAUCUCAUCUUUGACUGGAUCCACCCAUCAAUAACGAAGCCUGCCUCUCCUUUCUUGAUGUUUUCUAUUUAAAAUUGAACUACUGGGACUCCAUGAAUGAGAGACUUCGACUCAAAACAACUUCAGCUUGGCUCCUUCAGCAGAACUCUUCAGUCAUUUUAAAACAUGGAGAAACCUCCAUUCAAAACAACAGUUUUAUCUCAUCUUUGACUGGAUCCACCCAUCAAUAACGGAGCCUACCUUCCUUUCUUAAUGUUUUCUAUUUAAAAUUGAACUACAGUAAAGUCUCACUUAUCCAACAUAAACAGGCAGGCAGAACGUUGGAUAAGCAAAUAUGUUGGAUAAUAAGGAGAGAUUAAGAAAAAGCCUAUUAAACAUCAAAAUGGGUUAUGAAUUUACAAAUUAAGCACCAAAACAUCAUGUUAUACAACAAAUUUGACAGAAAAAGUAGUUCAAUACACAGUAAUGCUAUGUUGUAAUUACUGGAUUUACGAAUUUAGCACCAAAAUAUCAUGAUAUAUUGAAAACAUUGACUACAAAAACGGCUUGGAUAAUAAUCCAGAAGCUUGGAAAAGCGAAGCUUGGAUAAGUGAGACUACUGUACUGGGACUCCAUGAAUGAGAGACUUCGACUCAAAACAACUUCAACUUGGCUCCUUCAGCAGUUCUCUACAGUCAUUUUUAACUAUGAAAACAAUAGUUUUAUUUCACCUUUGACUGGAUCCAUCCAUCAAGAAUGGAGCCAGCCUCUCAUUUCUGCUAUUUUCUACUUUAUUUGGAAGGUUUUCCAUUUGAAAUUUAUCAACAGAGACUCCAUGAAUGAGAGACUUCAACUCAAAACUGGAUCCAUCCAUCAAGAAUGGAGUCUGCCUCUCUUUUCUUGCUGUUUUCUAUUUAAAAUUAAACUCCGGGGACUCCAUGAUGAGAGACCUCAACUUGGCUCCUUCAGCAGCUCACUUCAGUCAUUUUUAACUACGAAGGAGAGACCUCAAUUCGAAACAGUAUUUCACCUUUGACUUGAUCCAUCCAUCAAGAAUAGAGUCUGCCUCUCUUUUCUGCUGUUUUUUCUCUUUAUUUGGAAGGUUUUCCAUUUAAAAUUUAACUACAGAGACUCCAUGAAUGAGUCACUUCAACUCAAACCAACAGUUUUAUCUCUUCCUUGACUAGAUCCUUCCACCAAAAAUGGAGUCUUUCCAUUCUUUCUUUCUUGCUGUUUCUUUAUUUGGAAGGUUUUUCAUUUACUGCAGAGACUCGAUGAAUGAGAGAGACCAACUCAAAACCAAGUUUUAUCUCAUCUUUGACUGGAUCCAUCCACCAAGAAUGGAAUCUUCCCCUCUUUUCAUGUUGUUUUCUAUUUUAUUUGAAAGGUUUUCCCAUACUUUGGUGUUCAGUCAUUAAUCAGAAUUAAUCCCAAUAAUCAGGCUGUCAGUCAAGGGACAGCCAUGAAGGAAAAUUGAUACGAUUCCCAAGCAUAAAGAUGUGGCAGCAUCGAUGACUCAAUAAUCAGAAUUAUCCAUACCAUUGUGUUUAACAUUUCUGUAUAUGUAUGGUCUCCAGAAUAAUACAUACCAUUUUAUAAUGUAUGGUUCUGGAAGCUGGACUGUGAAGAAAGCUAGUAAGAAGAAAUUAAACUGAUUUGAAAUGUGCCGUAGGAAACUGUUCUGUGAAUAAUAUGGAUGGCUAAAAACGGAGGGGGGCCAAAAGCAAACUUCUCUACUCUUCAAUUUUAAAACAAAAAGGUGGGAGAUAAAAAAAAAUAAGAUCAUUGGAGGCUGUUUCACUUCCUAAACAGCAAUGUAAGGGCAAGGAGCCCAGAACCAUAGAAGCCAGCUCACUGAAAGUCUUUGGGAAAUCACACUCUCUCAGCUUCAGAGAAAGGCCAUGAAGAUGUAUUGAUAAGAGAACUCUAUGAGAAGCAAUGGCCAUCAGUGGACCUCAAAGCACAACAUGAGGAUGACAACAACAAUAAAGCAGCAGCCCUGAGGCAUAAAGGUUCAGAGACAGAGGGAAGUUACAGACCGAAGAUGUUGCAGAAGAUAUUGCAGCAGAAACUAAAAAAGGAGAAACGCCAAGGGCUCAGAUGGAUGACAGCACCAAGGAGACCCUGAGUAAACCACCCUCUCUCAGCGUCAGAGAAAGGCAAAGGCAAACUCCUUCUGGAUCAAUCUUGCCAAGAAAGUCUUACAAUCACCUUAAGUUGGAAAUAACUUGAAGGCAGAUAAUAAAGUUAACAUAAAGAUAUAACUUGGACACAAGCUUUAUAGGAAUGUGUAAGUCAUAAUCAGCAAUUUGAAUUGAAUUUGGGACCAUUAACAUCAUGACUUGAGAUGAAACUUGUAGCAGCCGUGAUUGCAAAAGCGAAGUCUGAAAAAAGAUACUGUGUAGUUAGAGAAAGUGAAGGAAGGGCAAAAGGAACAAGGGAUUAGAGAAACUCCCCUCAUGAUUUUGCAGCUUGGAAAAGAAAAAAAACAUGUGACAUAAUACAAUUCUUGAAUUUUCAACUUGGAAGGGGGCCGGGCUGUGGCGCAGCUGGCUAGUAACCAGCUGCUAUAAAUCACUACUGACCGAGAGGUCAUGAGUUCGAAGCCCGGGUCGGGUUAAACCUCCAACCAUAAAAAAAUAAAAAUAAAAAAAUAGCCCCGGCUUGCUGUUGACCUAGCAGCCCCGAAAGACAGUUGCAUCUGUCAAGUAGGGAAAAUUUAGGGACGCUUUAUGCGGGAGGCUAAUUUAACUAAUCUACAACACCAUAAAACUGCUCACGAGGAAAAGAAGAGGAAGAACAGCCACCAAUGGACGGUGAAGCAACAGCUCCCCCUGUGGCCGGAAAUCGUGAAGCUGGAAAGAUGUUAAAAAAUGCCUCUGUGUCUGUCUAAAACUGAAUGUUGUUUGUCUAUUGGCAUUGAAUGUUUGCCAUAUAUGUGUUCAUUGUAAUCCGCCCUGAGUCCCCUUCGGGGUGAGAAGGGCGGAAUAUAAAUACUGUAAAUAAAUAAAUAAAUAAAUGGCUUCUCAGGCUUUCUUAUAUGGGGGAGCAGAAACUAUUCUCUGUUUCUCUCUACAACUGUUUCUUUCCUGGAAACUUAACCCGGGGCCAGGGUCAAUGGCUCAGGAACUGGCACUAGUGUGGGGACCGUCACUGUGAGCAACAGCAAUCUAGACCAGGGCUUCUCAGGAUAUCUGAUGUGGAAAAUUGGCAAUUUUCCCCUCCAAAGUGUUAUGGACCAGUACCUUAUUUGUUUGCAACUGUUUCUUUCUUUCUAGGAAACUUGCUGUUGAUCGGGGACCACCAUUUUGAGCAGCCCUGAUCUAGAAAAUCCAUGGCAAAAGAUGGCCAUCUGACUAAAAGUGAAGGACAGUCCACCACAGUCUGUUUCACUGUCCAAUCGCACUUGCUAAUGGGUUUUUUUCCCUAAUGCUUAGUGAGGGUCUAUUUCUUGGAAUCUAGUUCUCUGAUUCAGGCCUUGGUUUCUGGAGCAGCCAAAAACAAGCUUACUCCAACCACAUGAAGUCCCAUCAGACAGCAUUAUCAUGUCAUCCUUCUGUUUUCUCUUCCCCAAACUCCCUACAAGAUUGUUUCCAGACCCUUUCGGAGUAAUAUAACAUUGAUAAGAAGAAGCCUUUCUCCCGUCUUCACAAUACUGGAACCCAGUGAGAUCUUCCAAUGGUGGGCAAUUUGAGACAAAUAAAGAGGAUUCCAUCACACUGUGCACAAUUAAAAUAUAUAUUAUACUAUGGAUGGCUGUAGAGUCAGGGAGAACCCAGGUAUCUCUCGGACCUUCACAGCUCAUUCUCUCUGUGUCUUACC